rnacentral:rRNA from 1 species
CAGCAGCCGCGGUAAUACGAAGGGUGCAAGCGUUAAUCGGAAUUACUGGGCGUAAAGCGUGCGUAGGCGGUGAGUUAAGUCUGCUGUGAAAUCCCCGGGCUCAACCCGGGAAUGGCAGUGGAUACUGGCUCGCUAGAGUGUGUCAGAGGAUGGUGGAAUUCCCGGUGUAGCGGUGAAAUGCGUAGAGAUCGGGAGGAACAUCAGUGGCGAAGGCGGCCAUCUGGGACAACACUGACGCUGAGGCACGAAAGCGUGGGGAGCAAACAGGAUUAGAUACCCCAGUAGUCCCUGUCUCUUAUAC